rnacentral:rRNA from 1 species
GACAGAGGGUGCAGACGUUGUUCGGAAUUACUGGGCGUAAAGGGCGCGUAGGCGGCCUGCUAAGUCGAACGUGAAAUCCCUGGGCUCAACCCAGGAACUGCGUCCGAUACUGGUUGGCUUGAAUCCGGGAGAGGGACGUGGAAUUCCAGGUGUAGCGGUGAAAUGCGUAGAUAUCUGGAGGAACACCGGUGGCGAAGGCGGCCUUCUGGACAGUGACUGACGCUGAGACGCGAAAGCGUGGGGAGCAAACAGG